UGUGUGCCCUGUGCGAAGAUGGACGUGUUUUCAAAAUAUAAUAUAAUAGUAUAGAAUAGAACUGAACGGGACUCACAACAAAUUGAAGCCGCUUUUGGAGCAUUUUUCGAGUCAAUUUAAAUGUUUUCAACCAUACGAAAUGGAUGCGAGUGCUAAGAACUGUGUCAAUAUUGAUAACACCAACAACAAGCUAACCAAGUGAAAAGCAUUGAGAAAGAAACUCAACAUAAUUAGAAGGGAUACAAUAUCAAAAGUCGAGACUAAAUUCAUUUGAAUGAGCACGAGUUGCUUGCAGCAAGUUUGAGUUGCGACACGUGACUUUUGGCGGGGCAUGUUAAAGGACGCCGAGGAGCUGAUAAAACGCUGCAAUUUGACGUCGCUGCCGUCGCUGGCGCUGCACAUGAACGAUUACGGCCGCCAGGUGGCGCCAGCGCUGCCGCUGCCGCUACUAGCGAAGCCACCUACAACGAUGGCAACAACAACUGGCGUAGGCAUCGAUCUGCAUCGUCCACAUCCCCAUUCACAUCCACAUCAUCUGCAUACGCAUCAUCAGCAGCA
rnacentral:sRNA from 1 species